rnacentral:rRNA from 1 species
UACGGAGGGUGCGAGCGUUGUCCGGAAUCACUGGGCGUAAAGGGCGCGUAGGCGGCAUGCCAAGCGUGUGGUGAAAGCCCGGGGCUCAACCCCGGGUCGGCCGUGCGGACUGGCGUGCUCGAGCACUGUAGGGGCGGGUGGAAUUCCGGGUGUAGCGGUGGAAUGCGUAGAGAUCCGGAAGAACACCGGUGGCGAAGGCAGCUCGCUGGAACGUUACUGACGCUGAGACGCGAAAGCGUGGGGAGCAAACAGG